CACAGCAUCUUAUAAAAAUGCUACGCAGACGCUAGUGAAAUCGUUCGAUUUUGCGACACUGUCAAAUUGCGGGAACCCCCUAAAGCUUGUGAUACCAAAUCAUCGUGGAAACAUUAUGAUGGACGAGAGCAGAACUCGUGUACGGUAAAAAUUCACAGAGAUAUAUGGGCGAUCCGCAGCCAAGCUCCUAAAAUAUCCGAACGGAUUUCAUGGAGAAGGUUCAACGACUAAACGGCAGUGGGUCUCUUUGAGGCUUAAGAUAUAGUCUAGUCCCGAGACAUGAG
rfam:Paramecium bursaria Chlorella virus AR158 genomic sequence.